rnacentral:rRNA from 1 species
CCUACGGGAGGCAGCAGUGGGGAAUAUUGGGCAAUGGGCGCAAGCCUGACCCAGCAACGCCGCGUGAAGGAAGAAGGCUUUCGGGUUGUAAACUUCUUUUCUGAUGGACGUAAAAAGUGACGGUACCUCAGCGAUAAGCCACGGCUAACUACGUGCCAGCAGCCGCGGUAAUACGUAGGUGGCAAGCGUUAUCCGGAUUUAUUGGGUGUAAAGGGCGUGUAGGCGGGCAAGCAAGUCAGAUGUGAAAACUCAGGGCUCAACCCUGAGCCUGCAUUUGAAACUGGUUUUCUUGAGUGCUGGAGAGGCAAUCGGAAUUCCGGGUGUAGCGGUGAAAUGCGUAGAUAUACGGAGGAACACCAGUGGCGAAGGCGGAUUGCUGGACAGUAACUGACGCUGAGGCGCGAAAGUGUGGGGAGCAAACAGGAUUAGAUACCCCUGUAGUC